AAAUAAGUGUAUAUGCUGCGUAUGUGUACAUGCACAUGUAUGUAUAUACCGGUAUUAUUGUAAUGAUUAUGCAGGAUUACCUACCGGCUUCUUUGUUCCGAUGAGGUCUAUAAACACCUUAUUGACCGCUUUAGAGGUCUAUAACAAUUUCCAGACCAGUCCUACUAGUGGCUCUACCUGCGUUUGAUGUAAACGCCCAUUCGGUGAGCUUUACAAAAAGCGGGAUUAGAUGUAAUGCAAAAAAAGCACUGCUACGGAUUCUAGAUGGAACAAAAUUUAGGCUCUUGUGAUCUAGAUUCUAUUUUUUUUCAUGAAAAUCACGAAAAUAUUUGUGGAGGACAUUUAGAUCUAGUAAAUCUACUAUUGUUACGAGUGUAUAUAAUAUUAACAAAUUUGAUAAUAAUUAUCAGUUAGAAACAUAGAAUCUAGGUCCUUACAACUUAUGUAGUCUGUAAUGCCCCUCGGAAAGAUGUUUCUGCUCUGUCGUCAUAACACGUGCGAUGACGUAGAUAAAAAUGACGUCAUCCGACUCAGCGCUUUCGACUGCAGAUCUUCACCGCCGCCAUUUGUGAUAUAAUACAGCUAAGCCUAAGACCUCUAACUAGAUCAAUGAGUAUGUGUGCUGUGCUGUGCUGUGCUUAGAUAUUGUUAUGAAGUAAUUCAAACUGAUGUUGUACAACUACAGGACUUUCAAUCUCAGUCAAGUUGAGGGGUCAGUUGCACGAAUGGUAACUGUAAUUCAAACUGAUCACUGGAAAAAGUGCCGCUGUGUGGGAAUCAAUUGUAGUUUCUCCGGAAAAGAUGUUACAGCCAGUGUAUGAAGACUGAACUUUUGGUACGGUCACAGGUGCUCUUGCAAAGACUGAUGGCCUGGCAGCAUAAACUAUUCUAUGGUAAAUAGGGC